UCCUUUGUGAAGAGGAAUCUGAAGGAAGCAAUAGGCAAAGUCUUGGUUUGAGGAAUACGAAUCACAUAUAAGGCUAGUCUAGAGAAGAUGAGUUUGCAUUACAAAGCAAAGUCCAACACUAUCCGAAUUUCUAGAGAGUAGAUGUGACAGAUAUAUGAGAUGAAGGUUGACGUU
rfam:Clostridium oryzae strain DSM 28571 CLORY_contig000003, whole genome shotgun sequence.